rfam:Picea glauca, whole genome shotgun sequence.
UGAGUAAAUGGCGAGAGUAACUAUGACUAUCUUAAGGUAGCCAUAUGCCUCAUCAUCUAAUUAGGACGCACAAGAAUGGAUCAUUAAUGAGAUUCCCCACUAUCCCUAGCUACUAUAUUCUAGAGAAAUCACAUCCAAGGGAAUGGGCUUGGAAAAAUUAGUGGGGAAAGAAGACUCUCAUGUUGAGCUUGACUCUAGUCCUAACCCAUUCAUAGUUUGGGAAAAUUAAUGCAUAGU